rnacentral:lncRNA from 1 species
AGACCAAGCCCUGAGACACAGUGUUGAGAGCCAAGACAUAAAGUUGUGAAGAUUCAGACCCAGAGCCCAGCAGGGCACAGGCUGGAGGGGUGAUGUGAGUGAUCAGUAACACCAUGAAGACUCUGCUCCUGGGUCAGGAAUGCUUUUUUGUCCCUGUUUUUGGAUUUUCCACCAUGAUCAGGUAUGUUUGCUCACCUCAGCUGGGAGCCUGAGUGGGAGUUGGGGGACUAUGGAUGUUCUCUGCCACUGACUGGAGGGGAGCACAGCCAAGAAUCAUGAGCACUUUUGCCUUCAUGACUGUAUUUUCUUAUGGUUAGAAACAAAACUAAACAAUUUAAAUAACUCUGCUUAAUGGAAGUCAGGAAAGAGAAAAGGCAGCUAUGAAGUGUUGUUGUUACAGACUGUGCAUGGACCCUAAUGGUCACCUAAAUGUGAGAGGAGGCUAGGCACUGAGAAUGCCAUGUGCAAGGAAAUAAUAAAAGCAAGUCCUCCAAGACAUUUCCCACAGACUCAAAUAUUUUCGAAGUAACAAAAAUAAGAAGAGUGCCCUUUUUGAGUCACAAAAUUGGCAUGAAGUGAACUGGUUCUAUGCUUGCUGUAAUUGUUGUUCAAGGAGGAAGGGGGGAAGCCAUUGAAUGUGUUCAGUGAGCUAGAAAGGUAACUUUCUUAACUGGAAGAAAAUGAUCAAGGGUGAGAAGUCAGGAGGAAAGAGAUGUUUUUGACCAGGUCUCAUUCUUCUCCCUCUGUGUCUGACCUUGAAAAGGAGAGAUUGCAGAAUAGGAAAAAAAAAAAAAAGUUUGAACCUUCCCAAGAGAUGGGUAAACAGCUCUCCUUCAGAAGAGGAUGAGCUGUCAAGGAUACUGGCUGUGUGACAUCUCACAAAGGUAGAAACACUAUUAGGCCAUCACUGGGAUUUUAGUUUACAGGACUCUAUUCUCCUUCCCUCAAAACUUUGACAAGAUGCAACUUCUUUCCUGAGCUAAACUGUUGUGUUGGUUGUAGUAUCUUGUCUUAUGCCUCAUUACUCACUAUCAGAGCUCAGUGAUGAAAUGAUAGAAAACUUGAGUCAGUGAUGGGGACUACUUGAGACUGAACGGGCAACAAAAUGAAACCUUCAGAAGCCUUCUGGAAAGAGGGACAGGAGAGGAAGCAGUGGAGGAAAUUUCAUGCAGGGCUCCUGGAGGUGCCAUAAACAGGAUAAAGAUCUGGGACUUGUCUGUAAUCAAAAAGCACAGGGGAUAACUCAAAAGUGCUCAAGGAGGGGAAAGAAAGCAGACUUGGUCUUCUUGCAGUAGCACUGGCUGGUAAUGGUUGAAAUGUGAAUGAUCACAUUCUAGUUAGGCACAUUUCUUCAACUUUCAUUCCAUAUUGUGUUGUACCUUAUAUAUCUGAAAAAUUUAAUAUGAAAAUGAAAUUGCUUUUUGAUUUUUUUUAUUUUAAAGAGCAUAAUCAACUGUGUUCCUGCUUCCUCCAGUUUCUCCUAAUGAAGGAAAGCCUGUCUGCAGACCUCUGUACUUGUAGCUGAUACCUGUGUAUACACAGUGGGGUACAUUAUAAUUUCAGAGUUAGUGCACUUUCAUAAAUUAUUUAACAAAUAAUCAGCCUCCAUAAGAUUGGUCUUGAAUAUCCAUACCUGUUAAGUGAUGGCAACUCUCAAACCCUAGGAAUAACAAAUACCCACUCAGUUCAUCAAGAAAUAAUUAAUGUAAGUUUGGGAGCAGAGAGAUGUGUGGGCUCAAAUCCCAGUUGCAGAGAAACCACCGUGUCACCUGUAACCUCUGAGAGCUUAGUUUUCCCAUUCAUAUUAACUAUAAUUUCUAAGAAGCUAUACUGUUGUAGGAAUUACAUAUGAUGUAUGCUAAGUGCUAGCACAGUGACAUACAGAGCUUUGGAGCCUCAGUUAAUGCUCAUUACUGUCAUUACAGCAUACCAUGAGACCAUUCCUAUUUUUAGAAAUAUAGGUACUAGAUACAUGGGGGAUCUUAAAUCUAGUUGUUUUAAAGUCCCAUUGGUCAUCUAAAUAUAAAGUCAUAGCAUUCUUGAAAGUGGUUUUCAGAAAUACCAAGAACUACAAGAUUUCUACUUAAACUAGAAAUAGUUUUGGUCUCACAUAAGGUGACCAACUGGGGCUCCCAAGGUGAGGUCCCCGGACCAGAAGCAUUAGCUUUACCUGGAAGUUUAGGAAUGCAAAUCCGUGUCUCCCAGCCCAGACCUAAUGAGUCACAAACUCUGGCUGGAGCACGAAGUAUGUGUUUGAAUAAAUUCUCCAGGUGAUUUUGAUGCACGCAGCAUGCUAACAUUUAAGAAAUCCUGGUCUAUAAUGUUUCACUUAUGCCAAACUAAGACAUUUUACAGAGGGGAAAAGAAAAAAAAAAGCAAUAAGCCUGUUUCAAUUUCUCUAGGACACAUGCGUCAGUACUUUUAUAGCUGAUAGUCUGUCCCCAUCACUAAAAUGACUCAAGUUUUCUAUCAUUUCAUCACUGAGCUCUGACAGUGAGUAAUAAGGCAUAAGAUAAAAUGCUACAACCAACACAACAGAUUAGCUCAGCAAGGAAGUUCCAUCUUGUCAAAGUUUUGAGGAAACGAGUUUUGAGGAAAGGAGAAUAGAGUCCUGUAAACCAAAACGCCUAAUAGUGAUGGCCUAAUAGCGUUCCUACCUUUGUGAGAUGGCUCACAGUCAGUAUCCCCAAUAGGGACUAGAGUAGGAAGUAUAUGGGUAGGGUCAGAUAAUAUUUCUGAAAGGAAACACCCAGGAGUAUCCCAAGUUAAUGACAUUUUAGACCCUCCAACAACCACACAAGUCAGCUCCUUGGAAAGACUCUGGUUACUUUUACAAAGCAAACCAGGAGAAUUUUCAUAAUACCUGAUAACUAUGUAAGACUUGGAAUAUUUGAAUUUCUAGGACAUGGGAUUGUGCAACCAUUCAUUUUAUCCCAUAAUAUUGAAAUCUCCCUCAGAUAAGCCUCUCGGCACCUAAUAGAGUUUUCUUAGUGAAGGGCUACCUUUCUGUGGGUAACAGGGAAGGGCAAAAUAAACAACCAAAUAAUAUCAUAAUCACGAGUGUCAAUGAUUGCUGGAACAGGUGGGGGUUGGUCAUUAAAUUCUAGUUGUUUCCACUAUUCCAGUAGGAGUUGUGUGAAUGUUAGCAAAAGACCAGGGUGUUACGAUCUGACUGUGUUUCAUCAAUUGCCUUGACUUUUGGAUGAAAUGCGAUUUGAGGACAUAUCAUUAUUAGAUUUGCCACAGAUUCCAAUUUUUUUCUCUAAUAUGAGGCUAACCAUGAUGUCCUUUCCCAGGAAGGACAAUCUCUCCUUUAUCAGGGAAAAAUCAGUAGGGGCUUCCUCAAUUUUCUCCUUCAUCCCCACCACAGAGUCAUAGAGGUCAAGUCCUUUUCUUGUGAAACCUAAAAAAUGCAAAUUCCAAGGUUGCUGCUAUGGUGUACUAAUUUUGUCACAGUGACAUGCCCUGUCACAGGGCGUAUGUGUUCUGUUAUACAGUUGAAAUAUUGGUUAUACUAUUGAAAUGUUUUUGUACUAUUGAAAUCCCAAAUAAACUUAAUUCUAAAAGAAGCAUGACCUCAACAGCCUCACACCUACUUAUAUCUUGUAGUUCUUUCUGUCUAAUGCUGGCAAUCUAAGCAUGUUCCAGGCAAGCAACAUUCAAUAGCGUUUUACUGCUCCAAUAAGUUGGUUCAAUUAGCAAUGUCAAAGGCAGUCACUAAAUAGAUAGUGUAUAACCUUCAUACAAUCUCGUAUUAUUUUCCACUAAUUACUAUAGAAAAAUCGAUGAAGUUUCAUUACAAUGGAAUAACUUCAAUCACACUUCAAAAACUACAUACGGAAGAUAGCCACAACUUGCUGCUCUCAAAAAACACAGAGAUGGCAUCUUUACUUUGUUUCAAAUCCCCAACCCUGGUGGCGGUCCAAAGUUAUGGCAGUUAUAACCCCUUAUGUCAUUAUAAGGAGGAAGGGUAAAUAUUAAGUCAACAUCCUUUAAAGCUAAGAGUAUGACUACAGUGGGGUGGAAUUUGGGACUUCAUGCCCACUCCCUGUUUCUGUUCUAUUUUACCUUUCCUGACCUCUAAGCCAACAGGAGAGGGGGAAGGGCCACACUUUUGUGACCCUUGUUAAAGAAUUGUGAGUUUAGGAAACAAAGAUGGACUUCUGAGGGGGUAGUUGAGGAUGGGCUGAAGGCACAGAAGAAACCAGCUGGUGUGCCCCUCUCCCCACUAGCAGACCCUUCUUCCUCAUUGGUUCAGGGCAAACAAUCCCCCAAAAAUUCAAGAAAACUAACUUAGAGUUAUUUUCUGUUAUUUCUCUUUUCCUUGAUCUGGAGCCAAUGCAGAAAGAAAUCUAAAGGUGAAGGAAAGGCAGCGUUCAGCACUGAGCAAGUCCAUGUUGGAGAAAGUUCACAGGGAAUUGGAAAUCCUUGUCUUCGUGGUUCCUGGCUCAGCAGGACCCCUGUGGGGCCUCUCCCUCUCUUGGGAAAGAGAUUGCUCUAGAAGGUUUACUACACCAGUGAGGAGAAGAUGAGCGCAAGGGGGAUUGGCCGGCUGAGGGCGAAAUCAAGACUGGAGCCAAGUGCGCUGAGCUCUCACAUGAGGUCCUUUGCUCCUGUUCCCUGGAGGCAUAAGUGGCUGGGGUAGAGAGAAGCAGGGGUAUUUCUUCUGUCCUUUCUUGCUUAGGGAUUGGGGGUGGAAAUCUCCCCGCAUCUAAGGAAAUUUGAAAAGACAAACUAUGGCUGCUUCUUCAAGCAAACCACCUCACCACACUAUCCAGGGGAUAAAACCCGCUUGCUGCUGCUAAAUUAUGCCAAGAGAGAACAUUCUGAUAUUUCUCCUCAAUUCUAGGCAUGACAGCGUGACUUGGUGCUUAAAGGCAUGGAGUUUUGAGUUGCAGACCUAGGUUUGAGUGCUGAAUCUACUAGCUUCAGGGUGUUAAAAAAGUUUCUUAAUCUCUCUAAACCUUAUUUUUCUCAAAGAUAAAAAACUGGGUGUAGUUGUGAGUAUAGUGAAUGCACAUAGUAUGUGCCUUUGGCAUGUUAAUUCACUAUUAUUCUGGACAUAAUUUCUCCUAAGAAAAAGGAUGAACUAAUUGCAGGGCCUAGCCUAAGCUCUGAGAAGUCAUUCGUUAUAGCAUUUCAGUCCAUAGUAAACAAGAAGAAAUGAGGUAAAGAGUUUAAACCAGGGAAGGCAUAGCUGUGGUCACCAAACAACCUGUUAAAGGCGAGCUGUAGGCACCAAAAAACCUAUUAUGGACUGAAUUGUGUUCCUCAAAUUCAUAUGUUGAAGUGCUAACCCCAAGUACCAAAUGUGACUGUAUUUGGGGAUAGGGUCCCUGAAGAAGUCACUCAGCUGGAAGGAGUCAUAUUGGAUUAGGUGUUGGGAAUUGGCUGGCCAAGGGAGAAAUCAAGGCUGGAACCAAGUGCUGAACUCUCACAUCAGGUCCUUUGCUCCUGUUCCCUGGACCCUAAUCCAAUAUGACUGGCAUCUUUAUAUGAAGAGGAAGAGGCACCAGAGGGUACACACGCAGAGAAAAGGCCAUGUGUGGACACAGUAAGAUGACGGACAUCUGUAAGCCAAGGAGGGAAACCUCAGAAGAAACCAGCCUUGCCUGCACCUUGAUCUUGGAGGUCCAGUCUCCAGAACUGUGAAAAAAAUGAACUGGUGUUGUUUAAAUCCCCCAGUCGUGGUAUUUUGUCAUGGUGGCCCUAGAAGACAAUAUACAACCCAAAGGAAUAUUCUUUCCACUUUCUCCCUCUUCCACUUUAUAGUUUUUUCUCCUUCGUUUCUUUCUUUUUCUCUUUUACUUUCCUUUUCUUCUCUUCUCUUUCCUCUGGUUUUUAAUUUUAAUUUUAAUUUUUGGCCUUCCUAUACCUCCAUUUGCCUCUCCAGGAAGCUGAAUUCCAGACAAUUAAUCAUUCAUCUCAUCAGUUCAGCAAAGCAAAUGCCCUCAAUGGUUUCUUUUGUGAUUCGAUUAUUAUGGGAUCAGAAUGUAUCUUAUUCCUCUGGGAAAAAUGAAACAUAAAAAUUUCAGAAAU